rnacentral:rRNA from 1 species
UACGUAGGGUGCAAGCGUUGUCCGGAAUUAUUGGGCGUAAAGAGCUUGUAGGCGGUUUGUCGCGUCUGCUGUGAAAUUUCGGGGCUCAACCCCGAACUUGCAGUGGGUACGGGCAGACUAGAGUGUGGUAGGGGAGACUGGAAUUCCUGGUGUAGCGGUGAAAUGCGCAGAUAUCAGGAGGAACACCGAUGGCGAAGGCGCUCUACUGGGCCAAGACUGACACUGAGAGACGAAAGCUAGGGGAGCGAAUAGG